CACGCCGGUGCAGCAGGCGGAAGGAAAAGUAGUGCUAGCAUGAGUGCAAGUCGUCAAAUCGGAGCAGAAAAAAAUGAGGAAAAAUAUAAUUAAAGAAUUACUGCCUGCAUGCCCGCAAACCUUCCACCUGUAGAUGUACAGACGAAGUGAUUUGGCAAGUCUUUACGGACGCCCAUCUUCUCCACCAUUGAUUGGGCAGGACGCGAGCGGAGGGCGGAUUCUCUGCCGCUCAUUGGUCAGUACAACUGGGGGAGGGG